UACGUAGGGUGCAAGCGUUGUCCGGAAUUAUUGGGCGUAAAGAGCUCGUAGGCGGUCUGUCGCGUCUGCUGUGAAAACUCGGGGCUUAACCCCGGGCCUGCAGUGGGUACGGGCAGACUAGAGUGCGGUAGGGGAGACUGGAAUUCCUGGUGUAGCGGUGAAAUGCGCAGAUAUCAGGAGGAACACCGGUGGCGAAGGCGGGUCUCUGAGCCGUAACUGACGCUGAGGAGCGAAAGCGUGGGGAGCGAACAGG
rnacentral:rRNA from 1 species